ACGCGAAGAACCUUACCUGGCCUUGACAUCCCGGGGACCCGCCCGAAAAGGUGGGGUGCCCUUCGGGGAGCCCGGAGACAGGUGCUGCAUGGCUGUCGUCAGCUCGUGUCGUGAGAUGUUGGGUUAAGUCCCGCAACGAGCGCAACCCUUGCCGAUAGUUGCCAGCAUUUAGUUGGGGACUCUAUCGGGACUGUCGGUAACAAGCCGAAGGAAGGUGGGGAUGACGUCAAGUCAGCAUGCCCCUUAUGUUCAGGGCUUCACACGUGCUACAAUGGCCGGUACAGAGAGACGCAAAACCGUGAGGUCAAGCCAAUCUCCAAAGCCGGUCUCAGUUCAGAUUGAGGGUUGCAACUCACCCUCAUGAAGGCGGAAUCGCUAGUAAUCGCGAAUCAGCAUGUCGCGGUGAAUACGUUCCCGGGCCUUGUACACACCGCCCGUCACACCACCCGAGUUGGGGUGCACCCGAAGUCGCCUUACCUAACCGCAAGGAAGGGGGCGCCGAAGGUGUGCUCAGUGAGGGGUGAAGUCGUAACAAGGUAGCCGUACCGGAAGGUGCGGUUGGAUCACCU
rnacentral:rRNA from 1 species